rnacentral:rRNA from 1 species
CAGCCGCCGCGGGAAUACGAGGGGGGCAAGCGUUGUUCGGAAUUAUUGGGCGUAAAGGGUGCGUAGGCGGCCCCGCAAGUCUCAUGUGAAAUCUUCAGGCUCGACUUGAAGUCUGCAUGGGAAACUGCGGGGCUGGAGUAUGGGAGAGGUGAGUGGAAUUCCUGGUGUAGCAGUGAAAUGCGUAGAGAUGUGGAGGAAUACCGAUGGCGAAGGCAGCCCCCUGGGCCAAUACUGACGCUCAUGCACGAAAGCGUGGGGAGCAAACAGGAUUAGAUACCCGCGUAGUCCCUGUCUCUUAUAC